rnacentral:lncRNA from 1 species
CAGACCGACCGACGCGGGCCAGCCGGCUCUCCUCGCCGCUGGCGCGGCGGGCGCGGGGCCGCGCGGGGACGCCUGAUCUCUGCAGCGCGGGCGGGCGGCCGCGCGGAGCGGAACCAGCAGAGGCGCCGGAAAGCCUGCAGGACAGGCCUGCCUUAAAGCAGACGGAAUGAAAAGCAGAAGCUUAUAAUCCGACACAUGACGCCAGAGCACGUCGGCGGAGGGCUCUGUCUCACCUGGACCUGUGAGAGUGAUUUCCCAGCGAUUGCUUCGGCCGGUACAACCAGAGAACAGGAUUCUUUUCUUUUUGGCCGCUAAAUGCCUCUGUACCCCACACUUUCCACUGAGGGGAGAAGGCCGGAGCUUCUUGGAUGAUGAUGGAUAUUCCGCUGGGCAGGAUGAGGGCAGAGUGUGUGACAUCAGCACCACAAGGGGCCAGCGUGAACUCCCUCAUCUCCCUUCCCAGCCAGCU